rnacentral:misc_RNA from 1 species
GAUGAAGAACGCAGCGAAAUGCGAUAAGUAAUGCGAAUUGCAGAAUUCAGUGAGUCAUCGAAUCUUUGAACGCACAUUGCGCCCCUUGGUAUUCCGAGGGGCAUGCCUAUUCGAGCGUCAUUAUCACCCUUCAGGCUUCGGCCUGGUGUUGAGGCCUGCCGUCAAGGCACCCUCUAAAAUCAGUGGCGGCGCCCUCUGGCUCUAAGCGUAGUAACAUACCGCUAUGGGGUCCCGGGGACGCUCGCCAGAACACCCAACUUCUUAAUGAUUGACCUCGGAUUAGGUAGGGAUACCCGCUGAACUUAAGCAUAUCAAUAAGCGGAGGA